CCUACGGGAGGCAGCAGUGAGGAAUAUUGGUCAAUGGACGCAAGUCUGAACCAGCCAUGCAGCGUGCAGGAUGACGGCUCUAUGAGUUGUAAACUGCUUUUGUACGAGAGUAAACGCAGAUACGCGUAUCUUUCUGAAAGUAUCUUAUGAAUAAGGAUCGGCUAACUCCGUGCCAGCAGCCGCGGUAAUACGGAGGAUUCAAGCGUUAUCCGGAUUUAUUGGGUUUAAAGGGUGCGUAGGCGGUCGGAUAAGUUAGUGGUGAAAGCCCGAGGCUCAACUUCGGAAUUGCAUUUGAUACUGUCAGGCUAGAGAGCAGUUGCGGUAGGCGGAAUGUAUGGUGUAGCGGUGAAAUGCUUAGAGAUCAUACAGAACACCGAUUGCGAAGGCAGCUUACCAAGCUACUUCUGACGUUGAGGCACGAAAGUGUGGGGAGCAAACAGGAUUAGAUACCCUAGUAGUC
rnacentral:rRNA from 1 species